rnacentral:misc_RNA from 1 species
UGCGGCCAACCGACAUGGGGCUGUCUCUUCACUCUCCCUCCUGUCAUUUAAUUUGUCGGGGUUGGGAUGCUUGUGAUCGGUUGCCUGUGUAGUUCUACCCUGUUGUGGGUAGCGAAGUUGUCCCUCGAUUGAUAUUUGCUUGCCUUUCUGACAUUUUUUUGUCGGUUGGGCAGCCGAAAUGAUGGCGAGAUCCUUGUGUAGGUGCGUUUGGUCGAAUGGCCUUUUGCUAUCGCUUGGAUUUUUGCCGCCUCUCACGGAUACAGUGCCUAUUGCUAGCUYUGCGUGACUUUACUCCGCAGACUUCGGGAGGUCCCUUGUACGAAUCAUUGCGACGUGGGCGCCGUUUGUCGUGUUGCUUGUUUGGCACGCAAAU